ACAGAUUCUUAUUCUUGCAAUAUGGAGAGCUCUCAAUCCAAACGGUCUGCUUCUUUUUCUGAACAAACGUCAUAACCACUUUCUAAAAAGGAUAUGGAAGAAUUGCAAUCUACUUUGCCUCUUGAUAAGAAGCUAAAAGCGGGGCGGGAGUAUAUAUGGAACAGAAAAAGUAAGAGGAAAGCUGAGUAUUGGAAAUAUUACUUAGAGUACGUCGAGAAUGGAAAACUACGAGCUGAAUCUAAUAAAGGUUUAGGAGAAAUUGCUUCUAUAUAUGAUAUGUUGAAUAAUUGGGAACAAAGUGAGGACUUGAAUUUUCAAGCUAUGGCCAUUGCAAUGAAAAAAAAGUUUGAUA